rnacentral:rRNA from 1 species
UACGAAGGGGGCUAGCGUUGCUCGGAAUGACUGGGCGUAAAGGGCGCGUAGGCGGUUUGUACAGUCAGGUGUGAAAUUCCCGGGCUCAACUUGGGGGCUGCACUUGAUACGUAUGAACUGGAGUGGGGAAGAGGGUCGUGGAAUUCCCAGUGUAGAGGUGAAAUUCGUAGAUAUUGGGAAGAACACCGGUGGCGAAGGCGGCGACCUGGUCCUUGACUGACGCUGAGGCGCGAAAGCGUGGGGAGCAAACAGG